AUUGAACGCUGGCGGCAAGCCUAACACAUGCACGUCGAACGAGUGGCGGACGGGUGAGUAAUGGCUGGGAAACUGACUGAUGGAGGGGGAUAACUACUGGAAAAGGUAGCUAAUACCGCAUACAGUCUGAUGUGACCAGAUGGGAUUAGCUAGUAGGGGGGGUAAAGGCUCACCUAGGCGACGAUCCCUAGCUGGUCUGAGAGGAUGACCAGCCACGCUGGAACUGAGACACGGUCCAUGCUCCUACGGGAGGCAGCAGUGGGGAAUAUUGCACAAUGGGCGCAAGCCUGAUGCAGCCAUGCCGCGGGUAUGAAGAAGGCCUUCGGGUUGUAAAGUACUUUCAGCGGGGAGGCGUUACCCGCAGAAGAAGCACCGGCUAACUCCGUGCCAGCAGCCGCGGUAAUUC
rnacentral:rRNA from 1 species